GACGAACGCUGGCGGCGUGCCUAAUACAUGCAAGUCGAACGCUUCUUUCCUCCCGAGUGCUUGCACUCAAUUGGAAAGAGGAGUGGCGGACGGGUGAGUAACACGUGGGUAACCUACCCAUCAGAGGGGGAUAACACUUGGAAACAGGUGCUAAUACCGCAUAACAGUUUAUGCCGCAUGGCAUAAGAGUGAAAGGCGCUUUCGGGUGUCGCUGAUGGAUGGACCCGCGGUGCAUUAGCUAGUUGGUGAGGUAACGGCUCACCAAGGCCACGAUGCAUAGCCGACCUGAGAGGGUGAUCGGCCACACUGGGACUGAGACACGGCCCAGACUCCUACGGGAGGCAGCAGUAGGGAAUCUUCGGCAAUGGACGAAAGUCUGACCGAGCAACGCCGCGUGAGUGAAGAAGGUUUUCGGAUCGUAAAACUCUGUUGUUAGAGAAGAGCAAGGACGUUAGUAACUGAACGUCCCCUGACGGUAUCUAACCAGAAAGACACGGCUAACUACGUG
rnacentral:rRNA from 1 species